GCCUUACACAUGCAAGUCGAACGGCAGCACGGGAGCAAUCCUGGUGGCGAGUGGCGAACGGGUGAGUAAUAUAUCGGAACGUGCCCAGUCGUGGGGGAUAACGCAGCGAAAGCUGUGCUAAUACCGCAUACGAUCUCUGGAUGAAAGCGGGGGACCUGCAAGGGCCUCGCGCGAUUGGGGCGGCCGAUAUCAGAUUAGCUAGUUGGUGGGGUAAAGGCCCACCAAGGCGACGAUCUGUAGCUGGUCUGAGAGGACGACCAGCCACACUGGAACUGAGACACGGUCCAGACUCCUACGGGAGGCAGCAGUGGGGAAUUUUGGACAAUGGGCGCAAGCCUGAUCCAGCAAUGCCGCGUGCAGGAUGAAGGCCUUCGGGUUGUAAACUGCUUUUGUACGGAACGAAACGGCUCCUUUUAAUACAGGGGGCUAAUGACGGUACCGUAAGAAUAAGCACCGGCUAACUACGUGCCAGCAGCCGCGGUAAUACGUAGGGUGCGAGCGUUAAUCGGAAUUACUGGGCGUAAAGCGUGCGCAGGCGGUUAUAUAAGAACAGAUGUGAAAUCCCC
rnacentral:rRNA from 1 species